rnacentral:rRNA from 1 species
CAGUAGCCGCGGGAAUACGUAGGUCCCGAGCGUUGUCCGGAUUUAUUGGGCGUAAAGCGAGCGCAGGCGGUUAGAUAAGUCUGAAGUUAAAGGCUGUGGCUUAACCAUAGUACGCUUUGGAAACUGUUUAACUUGAGUGCAAGGGGGGAGAGUGGAAUUCCAUGUGUAGCGGUGAAAUGCGUAGAGAUGUGGAGGAACACCAGUGGCGAAGGCGACUCUCUGGUCUGUAACUGACGCUGAGGAGCGAAAGCGUGGGGAGCGAACAGGAUUAGAUACCCCGGUAGUCCCUGUCUCUUAUACA